rnacentral:rRNA from 1 species
UACGUAGGGUGCAAGCGUUAAUCGGAAUUACUGGGCGUAAAGCGCACGUAGGCGGCUUUGUAAGUUAGAGGUGAAAGCCCAGGGCUUAACCCUGGAAUUGCCUUUAAGACUGCAUCGCUAGAAUCGUGGAGAGGUGAGUGGAAUUCCGAGUGUAGAGGUGAAAUUCGUAGAUAUUCGGAAGAACACCAGUGGCGAAGGCGACUCACUGGACACGUAUUGACGCUGAGGAGCGAAAGCUAGGGGAGCAAACGGG